rnacentral:rRNA from 1 species
AUUGAACGCUGGCGGCAGGCUUAACACAUGCAAGUCGAGCGGGGUGAUGGUGCUUGCACUAUCACUUAGCGGCGGACGGGUGAGUAAUGCUUAGGAAUCUGCCUAUUAGUGGGGGACAACAUCUCGAAAGGGAUGCUAAUACCGCAUACGUCCUACGGGAGAAAGCAGGGGAUCACUUGUGACCUUGCGCUAAUAGAUGAGCCUAAGUCGGAUUAGCUAGUUGGUGGGGUAAAGGCCUACCAAGGCGACGAUCUGUAGCGGGUCUGAGAGGAUGCACCCGCACACUGGAACUGGGAGACGGCCCAGACUCCUACGGGAGGAAGCAGUGGGGAAUAUUGGACAAUGGGGGGAACCCUGAUCCCGCCAUGCCGCGUGUGUGAAGAAGGCCUUAUGGUUGUAAAGCACUUUAAGCGAGGAGGAGGCUCUUUUGGUUAAUACCCAAGAUGAGUGGACGUUACUCGCAGAAUAAGCACCGGCUAACUCUGUGCCAGCCGCCGCCGUAA